UACAGAGGUCCCAAGCGUUGUUCGGAUUCAUUGGGCGUAAAGGGUGUGUAGGUGGCGCUGUAAGUCGGGUGUGAAAUUUCGGAGCUUAACUCCGAAACUGCAUUCGAUACUGCCGUGCUUGAGGACUGGAGAGGAGACUGGAAUUUACGGUGUAGCGGUGAAAUGCGUAGAUAUCGUAAGGAAGACCAGUGGCGAAGGCGGGUCUCUGGACAGUUCCUGACGCUGAGGCACGAAGGCCAGGGGAGCAAACGGG
rnacentral:rRNA from 1 species